AGUAAUUCAUUUCAUGGAUGAAAUGAAAGCCGUGACUUCGCCAUGGAUGGCGAUUACACGGCGCUUAC
rfam:Pseudoalteromonas sp. A601 contig9, whole genome shotgun sequence.